AGAACGAACGCUGGCGGCAUGCCUAAUACAUGCAAGUCGAACGAACUCUUCGGAGUUAGUGGCGCACGGGUGCGUAACGCGUGGGAAUCUGCCCCUUGGUUCGGAAUAACAGUUGGAAACGACUGCUAAUACCGGAUGAUGACGAAAGUCCAAAGAUUUAUCGCCAAGGGAUGAGCCCGCGUAGGAUUAGCUAGUUGGUGAGGUAAGGCUCACCAAGGCAACGAUCC
rnacentral:rRNA from 1 species